rnacentral:rRNA from 1 species
GACGAACGCUGGCGGCGUGCCUAAUACAUGCAAGUAGGACGCAGUUGCGAACGGGUGAGUAACGCGUAGGUAACUACCUAUUAGAGGGGGAUAACUAUUGGAAACGAUAGCUAAUACCGCAUACUAGUAGAUGGACCUGCGUUGUAUUAGCUAGUAGGUAGGGUAAUGGCCUACCUAGGCAACGAUACAUAGCCGACCUGGUGGGGGGAGCCGCCUCACGGGGACGGAGACACGGCCCAGACCCCCACGGGAGGCAGAAGGAGGGAAUUGUGGGAAAUGGGGGGAACCCUGACAGAGCAAGGCCGCGGGAGUGAAGAAGGGUUUCGGAUCGUAAAGCUCUGGUGUUAAGGAAGCGGUACUUAACCAGAAAGGGACGGCUAACUACGUGCCAGCAGCCGCGGUAAUUC